rnacentral:rRNA from 1 species
AGCGAACGCUGGCGGCAGGCUUAACACAUGCAAGUCGAGCGGGCGUAGCAAUACGUCAGCGGCAGACGGGUGAGUAACGCGUGGGAACGUACCUUUUGGUCCGGAACAACACAGGGAAACUUGUGCUAAUACCGGAUAAGCCCUUACGGGGAAAGAUUUAUCGCCGAAAGAUCGGCCCGCGUCUGAUUAGCUAGUUGGUGAGGUAACGGCUCACCAAGGCGACGAUCAGUAGCUGGUCUGAGAGGAUGAUCAGCCACAUUGGGACUGAGACACGGCCCAAACUCCUACGGGAGGCAGCAGUGGGGAAUAUUGGACAAUGGGCGCAAGCCUGAUCCAGCCAUGCCGCGUGAGUGAUGAAGGCCCUAGGGUUGUAAAGCUCUUUUGUGCGGGAAGAUAAUGACGGUACCGCAAGAAUAAGCCCC